rnacentral:rRNA from 1 species
AGAAUGAACGUUGGCGGCGUGGAUUAGGCAUGCAAGUCGAACGAAUCCUUUGUAGCAAUACGAGGGGGAAGUGGCGAAAGGGGCAGUAAUGUUUGGGUAACCUACCCUGAGGUCGUGAAUAGCCUUCCUAACGGAAGGGUAAUGCAUGACGUUGUAUCGGAGGGGCAUCCCUCUGCUACCAAAGAAUUUCGCCUCGGGAGGGCCCAAAUGAUAUUAGCUAGUUGGUGGGUAACGCCACCAAGGCGAAGAUGUCUAGCGGGUGUGAGAGCACGACCCGCGCCGACUGGCACUGAGACACUGGCCAGACUCCUACGGGAGCUGCAGUCGAGGAUCUUUGGCAAUCGGACGCGAAGUCUAGACCAAGGCGACGCCGCGUGUGCGAUGAAGGUCCUUCGGGUUAGUAAGCGACGUCGGUCGGAGGGGAGGAACGG